GACCGCGUAGCUCAGUUGGCAGAGCAUUGGGCUAGUAUUCCAAAGGUCGUAGGUUCGAUUCCCACCGUUGGCA